rnacentral:rRNA from 1 species
AUUGAACGCUGGCGGCAGGCCUAACACAUGCAAGUCGAACGAGUGGCGGACGGGUGAGUAAUGUCUGGGAAACUGCCUUAUGGAGGGGGAUAACUACUGGAAACGGUAGCUAAUACCGCAUACCAUAGGAUGAGCCCAAGUGGGAUUAGGUAGUAGGUGGGGUAAAGGCUCACCAAGCCGACGAUCCCUAGCUGGUCUUAGAGGAUGACCAGCCACACUGGGACUGAGACACGGUCCAGACUCCUACGUGAGGCAUCAGUUGGGAAUAUUGCGCAAUGGGCGCAAGCCUGACGCAGCCAUGCCGCUUGAAUGAAGAAGGUCUUCGGGUUGUAAAGUUCUGUCAGUAGGGAGGCGUUAACUACAGAAGAAGCACCGGCUAACUCCGUGCCAGCAGCCGCGGUAAUUC